CAGUCGCCGCGGGAAUACGAAGGGUGCAAGCGUUAAUCGGAAUUACUGGGCGUAAAGCGUGCGUAGGUGGUGGUUUAAGUCCGUUGUGAAAGCCCUGGGCUCAACCUGGGAAUUGCAGUGGAUACUGGAUCACUAGAGUGUGGUAGAGGAUAGUGGAAUUUCCGGUGUAGCAGUGAAAUGCGUAGAGAUCGGAAGGAACAUCUGUGGCGAAGGCGACUAUCUGGGCCAACACUGACACUGAGGCACGAAAGCGUGGGGAGCAAACAGGAUUAGAUACCCCGGUAGUCCCUGUCUCUUAUAC
rnacentral:rRNA from 1 species